rnacentral:rRNA from 1 species
CCUACGGGAGGCAGCAGUGGGGAAUCUUGCGCAAUGGGCGAAAGCCUGACGCAGCCAUGCCGCGUGAAUGAUGAAGGUCUUAGGAUUGUAAAAUUCUUUCAGUAGGGACGAUAAUGACGGUACCUACAGAAGAAGCCCCGGCUAACUUCGUGCCAGCAGCCGCGGUAAUACGAAGGGGGCUAGCGUUGCUCGGAAUUACUGGGCGUAAAGGGAGCGUAGGCGGACAUUUAAGUCAGGGGUGAAAUCCCAGAGCUCAACUCUGGAACUGCCUUUGAUACUGGGUGUCUUGAGUGUGAGAGAGGUAUGUGGAACUCCGAGUGUAGAGGUGAAAUUCGUAGAUAUUCGGAAGAACACCAGUGGCGAAGGCGACAUACUGGCUCAUUACUGACGCUGAGGCUCGAAAGCGUGGGGAGCAAACAGGAUUAGAUACCCUGGUAGUCCACGCCGUAAACGAUAGAUGUNUAGUAGUCGGUAGACGUGUCGUUCGUUGUACGCG